GGGACCAGUGAUGUGUGCAGACCCCACUGAGACCCAAAGCCCUCGAUGGUUCAGCAAACUGCACGCACGUUUCUGGCCUCCUACCUUGACUUCUGGUCACGGCAUAGUUUCCCUUUGAGUCCUGGUAUGCAGAAACUUGACUGAUAGCCAUGACUUCUGCUCCUCUCUGAUUCACUCGUGCAUCAGGAGCUGCAGCCUGCUCUUGUAACAUGAAGGGGUUAAGUUUUACUUGAAAAACCCAAGCAUGAAUGCAAAGUUAGAGUCCAAUCUUGAACACAGGUGACCCUGCAUCUGAACGAUUGUGGAGCUCCUCUUUCAGCUAGCAAAAUAUCUUCUGUGUGUGCUUAUAAUAUAAAGGGAUUAGAGUAGAGCCAUGAAGAGGUCAAAGGAGUAGCUACACCAUGAGUAGCCUUGCAUAUGCCAGCUUUAAACCAGUCAUGGACCUCAGAAGAGGAUGCAAAAAGCCCAUCUGGACCUCAAGUGCAAGUGCUGCCACCACUGUACAAACUUUCUCGGAGCAGGAAAGCUGUUAGAGCUGCAGUUCAACUAAGGACAGUUUCCCACACAAGAGGGAAGAAGGAGAGGUAAAAACAAUUAGGACUGCACCCAAGUGGAACUGCCACGGCUCUUCCAGAGACCAUGAUGUCACUGAAGGCACUGAGGUUGGUGGUUUUAACUUUGCAAGCAAUUCUGUGUUUAGUUUGUGUAGCUUCCAGUGAGAGCCUCCUCCUCUGGCACCUUUAAUAGAAAGCCAGAGCACAGG